GUGGGGAAUCUUGCGCAAUGGGCGAAAGCCUGACGCAGCCAUGCCGCGUGGAUGAUGAAGGUCUUAGGAUUGUAAAAUCCUUUCACCGGUGAAGAUAAUGACUGUAGCCGGAGAAGAAGCCCCUGCUAACUUCGUGCCAGCAGCCGCGGUAAUACGAAGGGGGCUAGCGUUGCUCGGCUUUACUGGGCGUAAAGGGCGCGUAGGCGGACAUGUAAGUCAGGGGUGAAAUCCAGGGGCUCAACCUCGGAACUGCCUUUGAUACUGGGUGUCGUGAGUAUGAGAGAGGUGUGUGGAACUCCGGGUGUAGAGGUGAAAUUCGUAGAUAUUCGGAAGAACACCAGUGGCGAAGGCGACAUACUGGCUCAUUACUGACGCUGAGGCUCGAAAGCGUGGGGAGCAAACAGGAUUAGAUACCCCAGUAGUCC
rnacentral:rRNA from 1 species